UACGGGGGGGGGCAAGCGUUGUUCGGAAUUACUGGGCGUAAAGGGCGCGUAGGCGGCCCUCUAAGUCGAACGUGAAAUCCCCGGGCUCAACCCGGGAACUGCGUCCGAUACUGGAGGGCUCGAAUCCGGGAGAGGGAUGUGGAAUUCCAGGUGUAGCGGUGAAAUGCGUAGAUAUCUGGAGGAACACCGGUGGCGAAGGCGGCAUCCUGGACCGGUAUUGACGCUGAGGCGCGAAAGCCAGGGGAGCAAACGGG
rnacentral:rRNA from 1 species